rnacentral:rRNA from 1 species
CCUACGGGAGGCAGCAGUGAGGAAUAUUGGUCAAUGGGCGCGAGCCUGAACCAGCCAAGUCGCGUGAGGGAUGAAGGUUCUAUGGAUCGUAAACCUCUUUUAUAAGGGAAUAAAGUGUGGGACGUGUCCUAUUUUGUAUGUACCUUAUGAAUAAGGAUCGGCUAACUCCGUGCCAGCCGCCGCGGUAAUACGGAGGAUCCGAGCGUUAUCCGGAUUUAUUGGGUUUAAAGGGUGCGUAGGCGGGCUUUUAAGUCAGCGGUGAAAGUCUAUGGCUCAACCAUAGAAUUGCCGUUGAAACUGGGGGGCUUGAGUAUGUUUGAGGCAGGCGGAAUGCGUGGUGUAGCGGUGAAAUGCUUAGAUAUCACGCAGAACCCCGAUUGCGAAGGCAGCCUGCCAAGCCAUGACUGACGCUGAUGCGCGAAAGCGUGGGGAUCAAACAGGAUUAGAUACCCGGGUAGUC